rnacentral:misc_RNA from 1 species
CAGACAUAACUACAGUGGAUGUCGGACCUCAUCGUUACCGCGUGUAUAAUGGUGCUAUGUGUGUUAAAUCCAGGGUGUAGAACUACAAAGAUUGACCUAAAAAUAGACACCAGGUAUACGGGUAUGUGUUAAGGCUCGAAUCAUAUAUAGCCGAUAACGCAUGAGGAAUUUACUUCCGGAUUGUCCGGCAAAUCGAAGGUUCGGCGAAUAACCCAUGGAUAUUUACCUGGUCACAAACGACAAGACCAAUACAUGAAAAAUGUAAUUUCUCAGGAUGAGUGACGGGUCGACCAGAAGUGAUCAUGGGGGGUCAAGAGAGGUCAAACUCCUAUCAACAAUAGGAGCAAAAGACUUAGUAAAACUUGGUCACGUGACUAAGAGCGGGUGGCUGAAACGGAAGACACUGCCAGGAAAUAAGAGGCUGUCUAUCGGCACUAUGACCUGGAGAUCACUGUUCUGUUGUGUAUCGGAAGGUUGUAUGUACCACUUUGAAUCAAAUACAUCAAAGAAUCCUAAGACAGUCUUCGUACUUACAGGAUAUAACAGGGUGUUCCGGGUGGACCAUCAACAGCGAGUAAACUGUUUUGAGAUCCAACCACCAGUAGGAGUCAACUCUCUCAAGACGUACAUGUUUUCCUGCGAAAGUGAUGACGACCGACUGGACUGGAUGAAAAGCAUACACGACGCUCUGCUUGUAGCAAAUCAACAACUACCUCCAGAUAGGCACAUACUUAUGAAGUUUGGGUACCCCGAGGUGGAAAGGUCUGUUCUGGUGGAGGCUCCGACCAGUGGCUACAGUAACAUUGACGAACUACAGGAGAAGAAAACGCAGCAAGCAAAACCCAAAACCGUAGAGCGCUACAAUCCGUGGGAUCAAGUGUUCAAGGAAAAGUCUGGUAGUAAAAAGAACAAGAAAACGAAGCAGUCGGAGGAGCCUAAAGAGGGAGGUGAAGAACACGUGUAUAUGAAUGAGGAAAACCGAAGAUUAUACAUGAAUCAACUUGGGAAAUUAGAGGCAGGACAGCAGGAUCAGGGAGAAGAAGAAGAAGAAGAAGAGGAGGAGGAGGAGCAGGAGGUAGAAGAGGACUACCUGUUCGAGAGUUCGGACGCAAGUGCGGCUCGAGCACUUCUAAAGGACUUGGUGAUUCAGACCUUCCUGGUUCGUAACUCACGUGAACAAGGGCGAAAGGUUUUAGUUGUCAAAAGAAAGGAUGAGUAUAAACAACACAAAAUCAGUAUCAACGGUGAUAUUUUUUGCGUGGAGGCAGCAGAACAAUUCAGAAGUCUGAGCAAACUGAUUGAAUAUUACAAACAAAAUGAAUUAUGUGGUUCAUGCCUCGGUAAUGGCUACAAAUACUAUGAAAGGUAAUUGAGGAUAAAGCAAUGUGGUUCCUGCCUUGGCAAUGCAUACAAAUUCUAUAACCGAGGAGAGUGUACGUGGCAUAUGUCUCGGCAACGGCCACACUGGACAAUGGUCACACCGGGCAAUUGCUACAACGGAAAGUGUUCAUACUUGACAAUGGUUUCACAUUCUAUUAACGAUGACAAUGUUUCGGUGGUUUGUGUCUCGGCAAUGGCUACAAUUGUGAUAGACGGCAGUGCUUUCUGAAUGUGUCUGGAACUACCCGAGAUCCUGUUGUGUAUUUCUGAAACACAAGAAAGUUAUUACAGUUUGUCCUGGGUAUUAUUUUUAUAGAUUACAUAACAGAAGUUUGUCCUGGGUAUUAUUUUUAUAGAAUACAGAGAAUGAAGUUUAUUCUGUGUAUUGUUUUUUUAGAAGACAAUAAUGUUACUAUAGUUUAUAUAUUGUACUUUCAAUAACGUGUCACUGUAGAUAAUAAGAAUAAGGCUAGAGGUCAUCAAUCAAUGGUGGACCAGACCCAUCUUGGUAUCAUAUUGUCUUCAGGUCUUGCGGGAAAACUCGCACCGACUGGUUAAAUCUUUUUGUAAAUAUUUCCAUGUAUUUUUUUCAGGUUUAAAUCUUUUCAAUUUAACUCUUUUGUAAAACAGAAAAUAUUAAAACUGUUUAUAUUAAACUGUUACGUUCAGAUACAAGAAGAAUGGGAACUCUUCUUUACAGUAAAUGUCAUCAGUUCGAAUUAGUGUCUUAUUGAGUUUCUCGUUAUAGGUGUCCGCACAGAAAUCUAAAAGAUAAUGCUACAUGUUUGUUGAAAUAUUUUUCCAGAAAGGAAAUAAAAUAAAAAUAAAAAGUGA